rnacentral:tRNA from 2 species
AGGGGUGUAGCUCAAUUGGCAGAGCGCUGGUCUCCAAAACCAGAGGUUGUGGGUUCGAUUCCCCCCGCCCCUGCCA